rnacentral:lncRNA from 1 species
CAAGCUGCUUGAAUGAAGCAGGCACCCCAUGUCCUCCAAUGGUAAGAAUGAUAGCGGAAGGUAUGCUGAAGCUUCUUGCUAUGAAGACGUCGAAACUGAUUGGCCACGAAUUUGAGAUCUUCUGCUCUUAAUGCAAAUGCCUCUACUUCAACCAGGGCUCUUACCGUUCUAGUGGAUGAAGGUAAGUUCAGAGAGGAUUUUGGAAGCAAUGCCCAUGAAAGUAGCUCCUCGCCGCAGAAGUCACCUGGUCUCAGAUUAAUUGAAUUGAAGAAACCUGUCCGUCCUCCAUUUGUGGUAGAACU